AGCAGCCGCGGUAAUUCCAGCUCCAAUAGCGUAUAUUAAAGUUGUUGCAGUUAAAAAGCUCGUAGUUGAAUUUUGGAUUCUUCCAAUUGGUCCAUCUUUUAGAUGAGUACUGGUUGUGUGGGGUCUAUCCGCCUGGUGAUACGUAAUGUCCUUUAUUGGAUGUUGCGGGUAGUCAGGACCUUUACCUUGAAAAAAUUAGAGUGUUUAAAGCAGGCUUAUGCCGGAAUACAUUAGCAUGGAAUAAUAGAAUAGGACGAAGUUGCUUUAUUUUGUUGGUUUCUAGGACAACCGUAAUGAUUAAUAGGGAUAGUUGGGGGCAUUAGUAUUCAAUUGUCAGAGGUGAAAUUCUUGGAUUUAUUGAAGACUAACUACUGCGAAAGCAUUUGCCAAGGAUGUUUUCAUUAAUCAAGAACGAAAGUUAGGGGAUCGAAGACGAUCAGAUACCGUCGUAGUCUUAACCAUAAACUAUGCGACUAGGGAUCGGGCGAUGUUGUUUCCAUGACUCG
rnacentral:rRNA from 1 species